CAUAGGUUAAUGAGGCGAACCGGGGGAACUGAAACAUCUAAGUACCCCGAGGAAAAGAAAUCAACCGAGAUUCCCCCAGUAGCGGCGAGCGAACGGGGAGCAGCCCAGAGCCUGAAUCAGUGUGUGUGUUAGUGGAAGCGUCUGGAAAGGCGCGCGAUACAGGGUGACAGCCCCGUACACAAAAAUGCACAUGCUGUGAGCUCGAUGAGUAGGGCGGGACACGUGGUAUCCUGUCUGAAUAUGGGGGGACCAUCCUCCAAGGCUAAAUACUCCUGACUGACCGAUAGUGAACCAGUACCGUGAGGGAAAGGCGAAAAGAACCCCGGCGAGGGGAGUGAAAAAGAACCUGAAACCGUGUACGUACAAGCAGUGGGAGCACGCUUAGGCGUGUGACUGCGUACCUUUUGUAUAAUGGGUCAGCGACUUAUAUUCUGUAGCAAGGUUAACCGAAUAGGGGAGCCGAAGGGAAACCGAGUCUUAACUGGGCGUUAAGUUGCAGGGUAUAG
rnacentral:rRNA from 1 species